GAGUGAGAAAGAUGGAAAUUGAAACAUUUCCUGUAAAAGAAAAGUACUUCGGUGUCGAGGUCCGAUCUAACACGAACAAUAGAAAUUAAUAUUACAAUUUUCUGUUAUUAUUAAUUCGGCGCCAUGUUAAUGGGUAGUAUCGGGUGCUAUUAAUUAAUUGAAUUAUCGCGUUAGUUUUCGUAGAUUAGUAAAGAAAACUUAUCUGAUAUCGUGUUGUGCAAUCAUCAAUGAGAAUUUGAACAGUGACUGGAACAAAAGUUGUACUUAGGAUUAGGAUUACUAGUGGAGUGGAGUAUAAAUGGUGCAUUUUGCAGUUAGUCGUCGAUCAUGAGCCACAUUCGACAAUCGAUUAAUUCCGGGAUCAUCACUGAAGGGAAUUUGUGGAAAGCUACAUCUUCUAGUCCAGUAACCCAACAGUCAGUGAUCGGCUUCUUCCAGAAUCACCGGCACGCGUCAAGAGUGGUACAGUUGUGUAUGCUUUUAAUUAGUUCUUCUUUUAGUACUUACCUAUUUUCAUUACUUUUCCUGAUCUUUACUUGCUUCCAAUUUUAUAUUUAUUUAUUUUCCAUUUCUAUUACC